rnacentral:rRNA from 1 species
AGGAUGAACGCUGGCGGCGUGCCUAAAACAUGCAAGUCAUACGGUCUACCUUCGGGUAGACAGUGGCAAACGGGUGAGUAACACGUGGGAACACGCCUUCGAGUGGGGAAUAACGCUGAGAAAUCAGUGCUAAUACCGCAUAUGGUCUAACGACUAAAGCAGUAAUGCGCUCGGAGAGUGGCCCGCGUCCGAUUAGCUAGUUGGUGGGGUAAUGGCCUACCAAGGCGGUGAUCGGUAGCUGGUCUGAGAGGAUGGUCAGCCACACUGGGACUGCGAACGGCCCAGACUCCUACGGGAGGCAGCAGUUAGGAAUUUUCGGCAAUGGACGAAAGUCUGACCGAGCGACGCCGCGUGGAGGACGAAGCCUUUCGGGGUGUAAACUCCUUUUCUGCGGGAAGAUAAUGACGGUACCGGCAGGAAUAAGCACCGGCUAACUACGCGCCAGCAGCCGC